rnacentral:rRNA from 1 species
GAUGAACGCUAGCGGCAGGCCUAACACAUGCAAGUAGAGGGGCAGCACAGAAACAGCAAUGUUUUGGUGGCGACCGGCGGACGGGUGCGUAACGCGUAUGCAACCUACCUUUAACAGGGGGAUAACGGAGAGAAAUUUCCACUAAUACCCCAUAACAUCGAUCAAGGCAUCUUGAUUGGUUGAAAACUCCGGUGGUUAAAGAUGGGCAUGCGUUGUAUUAGGUAGUUGGUGAGGUAAUGGCUAACCAAGCCUACGAUACAUAGGGGGACUGAGAGGUUAGCCCCCCAUACUUGUACUGAGACACGGACCAGACUCCUACGGGAGGCAGCAGUGAGGAAUAUUGGUCAAUGGGGGCAACCCGGAACCAGACAUGCCGCGUGCAGGAAGACGGCCCUAUGAGUUGUAAACUGCUUUUAAACAGGGAUAAAGCACAGUAUGUAUACUGUGUUGAAGGUACUGUAAGAAUAAGGAUCGGCCAACUCCGUGCCAGCAGCCGCCGUAA